rnacentral:tRNA from 1 species
AUUUAAAUAGUUUAAUUUAAAAUAUUGAUUUGUGGUUUCAAUGAUAUAGAUAUCUAUUUUAAAUA